GCACAAGCGGUGGAUGAUGUGGUUUAAUUCGAUGCAACGCGAAAAACCUUGCCUACCCUUGACAUGCCAGAGAUCCUGCAGAGAUGUGGGAGUGCUCGAAAGAGAAUCUGGGCACAGGUGCUGCAUGGCUGUCGUCAGCUCGUGUCGUGAGAUGUUGGGUUAAGUCCCGCAACGAGCGCAACCCUUGUCAUUAGUUGCUACGAAAGGGCACUCUAAUGAGACUGCCGGUGACAAACCGGAGGAAGGUGGGGAUGACGUCAAGUCCUCAUGGCCCUUAUGGGUAGGGCUACACACGUCAUACAAUGGUCGGUACAGAGGGCUGCCAACCCGCGAGGGGGAGCUAAUCCCAGAAAACCGAUCGUAGUCCGGAUUGCAGUCUGCAACUCGACUGCAUGAAGUCGGAAUCGCUAGUAAUCGCGGAUCAGCUUGCCGCGGUGAAUACGUUCCCGGGUCUUGUACACACCG
rnacentral:rRNA from 1 species